CCCUAGCUCCGCCCAGGCCCACGCCCCCAGGGCGCUUCAUGAAUAUGCAUGAGCCGGUGGAACCCGGGAGUUGGAAGCCCGUGCAGAAUUCGUCCCACCGUCGGCAAACAGGCGCGGCCCAGUACUCAAUUAUUCAUGAGGCUUGCAGAUGAGGGGCCCGCCCCAGGCUCAGACCGGGGCGAAACUGACGCAAUUCAGCCGGGGGCGCUCGGGUAAAAUGGACACCGAGACGACUGCCUAGAGAGACUGCCUUGGCGGCCCCUCCCGGGCCCCGCCGCCUGCACGGAGUGCAGUACCAUCGAGCUACGCCGGCAAGAAGGUAGCAGCCGGCGGACUGGAGCGGCUUCCUGGUACAGCCACCUGAGUGCUGAGAACGCGCGCAACGUGGCCACCCCUCCUGUGUCAAUUCAGAUUUAGAGCCACGGCUGCAACCACCACCACCCUACACACACGCUCAUCCUCCCCGACUCUCCAGGCUCACGUUUCCACUCCCCCGGCUGCGGGAAGGACAGUCAAUCCUGAUUUCAUUAUCUAAAGCCUUGGAAGACCCUUGACUCAUAGGUAAGGAUGGGGCCAAGAGCUGCCUCCCCCUAGCUUGGUUGGCUAAUGGAGUGUAACCGGGAGAGACUUCCUAAUCACAUCAGCUCUCAUUUCUAGAUUCUCAGGUGGCCCAUCCGGGCAGAGGCGGGUGAAAACCAAUGCUUCUCCAGCCGGGAACAGAACAGGAUGUGCCUCGAGACUUGCUUCCCGGCUGGCCAGGCUCUGCCUAGUCUGACCAGGGCAGUAACCACCACCAGUAAAAGUAGGAGCAACAAACCAGGGCUACAAAGAAAGCAUAAAGACAUGGUUUCCAAAGUCAGUUCCCUUUAUUAAAUCAUUUUCACAGACCAGAAAUACAAAAUAAAAGUAGAAAUAGGCCCCAGGUAGGAGCUACAGGCCUGGCCUCACAUGACCCCUGCUCCAGCAACUUGAACAGGACCAGCAGCAGCUACAUCCUUAAUUAAGGUCGGGAAAGUAAGAUGAGGAUUUUGAUCCUGCAUUGCCCUGCCUCCCACCCUCUCUCUCCC